AGAGUUUGAUCCUGGCUCAGGAUGAACUCUGGCGGCGUGCCUAAUACAUGCAAGUAGAACGCUGAAGCUUGUUGCUUGCACCGAGCGGAUGAGUUGCGAACGGGUGAGUAACGCGUAGGUAACCUGCCUCUUAGCGGGGGAUAACUAUUGGAAACGAUAGCUAAUACCGCAUAAAAGUUGACAUUGCAUGAUGUUGAUUUGAAAGAUGCAAUUGCAUCACUAAGAGAUGGACCUGCGUUGUAUUAGCUAGUUGGUGAAGUAACGGCUCACCAAGGCGACGAUACAUAGCCGACCUGAGAGGGUGAUCGGCCACACUGGGACUGAGACACGGCCCAGACUCCUACGGGAGGCAGCAGUAGGGAAUCUUCGGCAAUGGGGGCAACCCUGACCGAGCAACGCCGCGUGAGUGAAGAAGGUUUUCGGAUCGUAAAGCUCUGUUGUAAGAGAAGAACGAGUGUGAGAGUGGAAAGUUCACACUGUGACGGUAACUUACCAGAAAGGGACGGCUAACUACGUGCCAGCAGCCGCGGUAAUACGUAGGUCCCGAGCGUUAUCCGGAUUUAUUGGGCGUAAAGCGAGCGCAGGCGGUUAGAUAAGUCUGAAGUUAAAGGCUGUGGCUUAACCAUAGUACGCUUUGGAAACUGUUUAACUUGAGUGCAGAAGGGGAGAGUGGAAUUCCAUGUGUAGCGGUGAAAUGCGUAGAUAUAUGGAGGAACACCGGUGGCGAAAGCGGCUCUCUGGUCUGUAACUGACGCUGAGGCUCGAAAGCGUGGGGAGCAAACAAGAUUAGAUACCCUGGUAGUCCACGCCGUAAAC
rnacentral:rRNA from 1 species